AUACGUAGGGAGCAAGCGUUGUCCGGAAUUACUGGGCGUAAAGGGCGCGUAGGCGGGAAUUUAAGUUAGAUGUGAAAACUAAGGGCUCAACCUUUAGACUGCAUUUAAAACUGGAUUUCUUGAGGGCAGGAGAGGAAAGUGGAAUUCCUAGUGUAGCGGUGAAAUGCGUAGAUAUUAGGAGGAACAUCAGUGGCGAAGGCGACUUUCUGGACUGUACCUGACUUUGAUGCGCGAAAGCGUGGGGAGCAAACGGGAUUAGAUACCCCGGUAGUCCACGCCGUAAACGAUGAAUACUAGGUGUAGGAGGUAUCGACCCCUUCUGUGCCGCAGCUAACGCAAUAAGUAUUCCGCCUGGGGACUACGGUCGCAAGACUAAAACUCAAAGGAAUUGACGGGG
rnacentral:rRNA from 1 species